GUCAAGCCCCCACCCAGCCUGCAGGUGGGGGACAGUCGCUGCCGCUCUCUGAAUCCUGUCUCGGACGCUCAGCGGGAGCAAAACCAGCUCAGCGGCAGUCUCCUGGACCCUCCUCCGCGCCAGAAGAAGAAACUGCGAUAUAGAAGCUUAAAUGCCAAGCAUCAGUUCAAGAAAUAGAGCCAGAAUCUGAAUGAAGCUGCAAAGCUGGGCACUUAAUCACCACGCUGGGUGUAUAACUGGACCAUAUAGGAUUGUUUUAAGAGGAGCUGCCUUUUACAGUUUGCCCAUUUGCUUCUCUGUUUAGCUGAAAACAGAUUCAACAUAGUUAGGAAUUAUUUCAUGAGUGGAGAUGAUCCUGACUGAAUUGCUCAAAUAUGCAUGCCAAGGGUGCCCAAAGAAGACAUGAUACACCAUGAGAGAAGUUUAAUACCAAUGCCUACUGCUUGGUGGGAGAUGGGCCACUUAGCAGAGGAAACUGGAAGUUUGCCUUUACGUACCCAGCAUGGGAUGCUGGGUAGGCUUUCAAAACUACUGAAGAAACUUCGGAAGUCCAACUUAUGAAAAAAUUUCCAGGCUUCUUGCUAACUUCAACAUUUAAAAGUUAAAAAGCCAUGUGACCUUACUUGUAUCCCAAAAAGUAGGUGAAAAGAGACAUACAAGUUGCAUAUAUAUGUUGGCAUGAGCAUUGAAUAAAAGCUUGGAGGGACAGAUGUAAUAAUAAUUUCAUUCCAUAAAUUUCUAAACAUUUCAAGUAUUUCUGCAGAACAAGCGAAAGGAAUGCAUCCUGAGAAAUAAAGUGGCUUUCUGACUCCAUUCCACAAAUGUUUUUGGAAAGCCUAUAGUGUGCCAGCUUUUGGCCAGGAAAGGGGGAAAAUGAACAAGACAGAAUUCUAUUACAACUUUCAAAGGGCUUCUUGGAUCUUAAAUUGCUACUCAAACUGACAAAGCAAAGCAUUAGUUGCCUGAGCCCAGAGGAAAUGACCAGCAUCAGUGUUUCUUUCAUUUACUCUGGAUUCUUGUUGGCCCUGCAAAAUCUACAGUAACUCCCUAAAUCUCUUUCACCUCCCUUUCUUUUACCCCCAACGGCAGGCCUGCAUUCUUUUCCCAUUCCUGGUUUGGGGACUGAAAACAAAAUCAUCUCAGAGAUCAUUACAUCUAGUCACAAAGAUACCCUGUGAGGAGUAGAAGAAAAAUCCUUGCUUCAAGUAACUUUAAACAUUUGACCCAUAAUCUGCUUCCACCACCGGUAGUUCACUAGAAGAUAAUAUUCUGAUAAAUCCUAGGAGUUUUAUGUAUCUCUUUACAUAUCUGUGUAAGCGCGCAGUACACCACAUUUUAUUUUUUGCAUGUUAGGAUCAUUAAUUUUUAAAACACAAACAUAUAAAAUAAAACACAAUUUUUAAAAUUC